rnacentral:lncRNA from 1 species
CAGCUUGUUGGGCCACCAAGUUAGGUGUGGCUUGCUGGCAAUGUCCACAGGGAUUCCUUCUGACCCCAAUCUGGCCAGCUCUUGUGGGUGAACUUAGUCCCCAGCAGAUGGUAAACAGUACCUGGCAGGUGAGCUUAUAUAGGGACAGAUAUGGGAGUUCUAGCCUGUGAAUGGCCUUUAAAACUUGCUGUAAGGAGGGAGAAGGCCUCCACACAAAGGCUGGCCUUUCCUUUCAAGUAACAGGCUGGGUCCGGAAGAACCCCUAGGCACAAAUAGGAUAACUGUAAACCCAUUGAUGAUGAGCAGGCUUAUCUUUUCCACACCAUAGUCAUUCCCUUCCAGCAUCACCUUCACCUUUUGAAUUUAAUUUCAGUGGGUUCCUCCUCAUCCACUUAACCAAAGGGCUAGUAUCUGGUAAACUUUUUCAAAAGUUGUUUAUCUGUUUGCUGUGCCCUUGGACACCUCUUAAGAUAACCAAAUUCUGCAUGGUUUUUGAGAUCAAAGCAAAGGUCUUAAUCUAUGCUUGGAUACAGUUAGAUGACAUUUUGAAUCAAGAUGCCAGACUUAACCUUUCAAAUGAGCACUGGCAUUAUUAUUAUUAUUAUUAUUAUUAUUAUUAUUAGUUUCUUAGAAUUCCUGAGCAGCACCAGGUAUGAGGCUAAUAGUUAAUAAUACCAAACAGCUGAGAUUUCUAACAAUUCUGCCUUAAAUGUAACAUAUAAUACUUUUAAGGCAAUUGCAUAAAUUUAAGAAGGUUUUUAUUUAUAUGUCUGACAUCCUUCAUUUUAAUAGCAGAUUCUAAGGCUAAAAAGCAAAUCAGUUGAUGUUCUUAAACAUGUCAAAACAAGUUAAGAAAUUAAGUCCAUGCAUUCAAUUAAAAUUAUGCUAUUCAACAAUUUUUUAAAAGCAGUCUCGAAGUGGGAAUGCUAAUUUUGAUGAUCUGAUUUACAGUACAUUUUUCACUAAAAAAACUAUUUUGCAUUAUGGUCUCAGUUUCCCUUUUGUUUGACAUAUUAUGUUGAAAUAUUCAGAAAACCAUACUAUUUUUGUCCUAUUGAGUAAUCAGAUUACUGGGAAUUUGUGGAAACAAGGAUAUUAUAUGAAUAGCCCCUUGAAUGAUUUGAUUCACUUGCAGAAUUUUAGAAUAUGCAUAUAUGUGUUUAUUAUUUUACUGCCAGUUUUAUUUUUUUAUUUUUAAAUGAUAUUUAUUAAAAUUUCAGAGAAAAAAAGAAUUACAGAAAAACAAAAAGUAAAAAUACAAGAAAAAUACAAAAUACAGAAUAAAAGAAUAAAAGACACUUAAAAAGAGAAAAAAGAAAAAUGGGUCAAUCUUUCCAUAGCUUACAUUCAUAUCCUUGUUUCCCUGACCUCCUCAUGCCUCCCUUUUUUGUAUUCCAGUUCAAUUAGUUAAGUCAGCAAUUUAUUUCCCUCUUUGUUUUCUCAUGAUCCUUUAACUUAAUAUACUAUAACUUUAAAUUUUCAUCUAUUAACACUCCUUUUUUACAUACACCUUUAUAGCAUUACUGCUUAAACCACCUAACUUCAUUCCAACAUCAUUCUAACAUUCAUUAAUUUUGCAAUAUUUCUGUAAAUAAUCUUUAAAUUUCUUCCAAUCUUCUUCCACCGACUCUUCUCCCUGGUCUCGGAUUCUGCCAAUCAUUUCCGCCAAUUCCAUGUAGUCCAUCACCUUCAUCUGCCAUUCUUCCAGAGUGGGUAGGUCUUGUGUCUUCCAAUACUUUGCAAUAAGUAUUCUUGCUGCUGUUGUGGCAUACAUAAAGAAAGUUCUGUCCUUCUUUGGCACCAUUUGGCCAACCAUGCCCAGGAGAAAGGCCUCUGGUUUCUUCAGAAAGGUAUAUUUAAAUACCCUUUUCAUUUCAUUGUAAAUCAUCUCCCAGAAAGCCUUAAUCCUUGGGCACGUCCACCAAAGGUGAAAGAAUGUACCUUCGGUUUCUUUACAUUUCCAACAUUUAUUAUCGGGCAAAUGAUAGAUUUUUGCAAGCUUGACUGGUGUCAUGUACCACCUGUAUAUCAUUUUCAUAAUAUUCUCUCUUAAGGCAUUACAUGCCGUAAACUUCAUACCUGUGGUCCAUAACUGUUCCCAGUCAGCCAUCAUUAUGUUAUGUCCAACAUCUUGUGCCCAUUUAAUCAUAGCAGAUUUCACUGUUUCAUCCUGAGUAUUCCAUUUCAACAGCAAGUUAUACAUCUUUGACAAAAUCUUGGUUUUGGGUUCUAACAGUUCUGUUUCCAAUUUUGAUUUUUCCACCUGGAAGCCAAUUUUCUUGUCCAAAUUAUAUGCCUCCAUUAUCUGAUAAUAAUGAAGCCAGUCUCGCACUUUGUUUUUUAAUUUCUCAAAACUCUGCAAUUUCAGUCUAUCUCCAUCUUGUUCCAAAAUUCCCCAAUAUUUUGGCCAUUUGACCUCCAUAUUGAGCUUUUUCUGAGCUUUCGCUUCCAUCGGUGACAGCCACCUUGGGGUUUUGUUUUCCAAUAAGUCCUUGUAUCUUGCAACCCGUUCCAGGGUUUUGAGCGGUGGAUUUUAGCUUCUUUUCCUCUCUUUUUUACAGGGAAAUACAGUUCAAACUUUUCCCCCCUCCUCCCCUGCAAUCAAGGGGGGGAAAUCGCUUGUUUGAUGUUCGAAUUAUAAUCCUUUUCCAACGUCUUUUAAGGUUUCCGCUUACAAGUUCAUUGCUUUACUCCAUUUACAAGAACGGAAGGCAGACUUCCUGUUUAUGCCUCUCCGCUUCGGUGCCGAAUUAUUUGUAAAGUUCCUUUAAUUCCGAAAUUAGCCUACUCACGGAUCGUUGUUUUGCAGCCAAAUUGUCCCAGGAAAAAGGCAGCGCUCUCCGGUAACGGCUACGUGGCUUCGCUCCACAGAAGAAGCAGUUGACUCACAGCACCGCGCCACUUCCCCGCUCUGCUCCAGAGCCCGUAGUCGGGCUCCUUUGCCAAUUGGGGGGGGCGCAAAAGGUGCCCGCCGAGUCCCACGGUCACAGGCUUCACCCGCCUGUGAUUUUUGAAGGGUCCCCGCUUCACCGUAGCGGUGCAGACCCGAUUUCCGCAGAGCCGGCUCCCUCCAAGUCAGAGGGAAUCCGCCAUUAUCGAUGGCGCCACCCCGGAAGUCUAUUUUACUGCCAGUUUUAGUACAUGAUCACUGCUUUCCAUAAGUGUUCAAAUUACUGUAUUCUCUCCUGCUUUACUCUAUCAACAAUGUUCACAAAAAAAUGCAUUUGUUUUGUACAUGUAGCUGAAAAUGAUUGAUAUAAAAGUUGAGUGAAUAUUCUGACUGUUUCUGGUAGGUGUGGGUCUGACUCUAAUUUAAACAACAUUUCAGAAAGGAGGAAUAUAUGGCUGCCAAGUCUGCAAAAUGAUAAUGUCAUGGCAAUUACAUAAAUUGAAUUCCAGAAGAGUGAUGCUCCUAGCUACCAUUUCUCUCCUAAUCCCUCUCUAGUCUUACUGGUGACCAAAAGAAUAAUAUUUGGUGCUAUGAGCUGCAACUCUACUCAGAGUUCCUAAGAUCAGCCUAACACUCCUGAUGUCAGUGCCUGAUUGACAAUGCAGCAAUACCAGUAGACUCUAUUAAGUGACCAUCCUAUGCACAGUUUUUGCAACAGUAAUAACUCAGGUUGAAGUUAGGCUUACUGAAAAAUAUGGUAUAUUCAAACUAGAACAAAGAAUAGAUCCAUCUGUCAACCAAACUGAAAACCUUGAUGGUCACAGGGAAGACCGUCUCCUGCUCUGGAGGGUAGGACUCAAACCAAUGGGUUCAAGUUAUAAGAAAGGCGAUUCCAACUAAACACCAGGAAGAACUUUCUGACAGUAAGAGCUGUUCAACAGUGGAGCGGUCUCUCUCAGCAGGUUGUGGACUCUUCUUCAUUGGAGGUUUUUAAGCAGAGGUUGGAUGGCCAUCUGUUGUGGAUGCUUUAGCUAAAACGCCUGCACUGCAGGGAGGUGGACUAAAUGACUUUUGGGGUUCCCUCCAACUCUACAAUUCUAUGAUUCUAUGACAUUUAUUUAAAGAAGCCACAUAUAAGAAAAAAGAUAGGCUUUAAAAAAAACAAAACAAAGUGUUUUGUCACAGGUUGUAUUAGCACAAGUAGAGUAGUGACUUAGGUGAUGAAUACAGUGAAGGGUAGCGUGAGACAACAUGUAAAAGUCUGUAUUCUAAAGAGUUGCUUCUUUUUUGUACGGUUGCAUGCCACCCCAAUCUCUGAGUGGUGAUUCCUGGGGUUCCAGGCGCUCACCCAGGGUUCAUGUUUCCUUUCAGGAAUGAGGCACAGUGAAGACUGCAGUGUCUUUAUAGCAUAUGGCUUAUUUACACACCUAUAUACAACCUGAGUCUUCAAUGGAGGGGUUCACAGCACUAACACCCCAAAAGGGUCUUUUUUUCUCCCAUAGUCACAGCCUUGGAUUCAAACGGGUAUCAAAUAUCCUGCUCUCUAAUGUUGCCCUCCCUCACUCUAUCUCUAGCCUGCUGCUUUCCUUCUAGGUCACAUCUCUACUCUAAACUCUUGCAUUAUCUGUUGAGGGAGGAGGGCCCACCAAUUUGAAGUCUAGCACAAGCCCUUUAUUCUCAUAAUGGAGAGGCUAGCCUGGCUUAAUUAGCUGUUAAAACUUGCUGAAUCCAGGGAUUAGAAGUGUCUAGUAUCCAGUUUAAAUACCCCAAGCCUUGAUUAAAUUCUAACACUUACUGGACCCAGGAAUACAGAGGUCUGGCACCCACAAACUCAUAACAGUACCAAAGCUACGCAAAGCAUUGAAAUUCCAUUCUGAGAAGUAGCAAGCAGCAAAACCUGGUUUCUAUAGCACUGCCAUGGAAACGUCUCACUGUCAAUCUGUGCCUUCAGGCCCCUUUGCAACUAAAAGAUAUUUCUUCCCCGACACCCACUUCCACAUCACAUGCCCACCCCCUCCAAAUGAUUAAAGGGUAUGGUAUACUCUGGCAAAAAAGGGCUGGACUAGCUCCUUCCUGGCUAUUGAUACAGAAUGGUGUCUUCAAAACACAAUAAAGGAAUAAAUGUCUCUCCAUUUAGGAAUCCUUUUAUUUUACCUAACAAUGUAUUAAGGAACAGACCCAAUAAUCUUAUGCAAGGGAUCUUUUGAAAUGCCCUUUUUUUUUCUUGGAAUGAUGUCUUCUAAAACUGAAGUUAACUAUCAGAAUGUAGAACUAAGUCCUCUUAAUCUACUGUUUUGUCUGUUAUCUCAUGGCUCCUUCCUCCACCUUGGACUACUCUGACUCUCCUUCCUCUCCUGGCUCCUUCCUUUGUGGGUGGCGUCAAAUCCUAUAAAUCACUGAUCCCCUCUCCUGGGUCACUCUCCCAGUCCCUGCCUCUGCCCCACACUCCUCAGAGUCCUGCCAGUCCCUGACACAAGCCGCUCAAAGUGUUUUGCUCUUCCUCUUUCCAACUUGCCUCAGGCACACCUUGCUCACAGGUCCUCCUCUAGAAAACAUAAAUCCCACUUUUGACACCAGUGUUGCAUUCCACCCCAAUCUCUGAGCACUGCAAAAUUCUAGGGGUUCCUGGUUCUUAUCCAGGAUUCAGUUUCCUCCGAAUGAGGGACAGCAGAGACUAUGGUGUCUUUAGGAUAUAUGGUUUAUUUUACACAUAUAAAAAACCUGAGCCUAAGAUGGAGAGGCUCACAGCAUUAGCAUCCCAAGAGGGUCUUGCUUCUCCCAUAGCCACAGACUAGGAUUCCAGCAGAAAUCAGGCAUGGCUCUGUCUCACAGAUUUCAGCCUUCUAUUUCUCGUUUGUAGCUUACACAUCCAACUCUCAACUCUGCCCUUUGUCUUUCUAACUACCAGCAAGUUGACUGAAGGGACUCACCUAUUUUCCAUAUGGCACAAAGCCACUUCCUUUGUUACCUUAUAGGCCCAUAUUUAGAGGGCCAUUACCUCACUAGGAAGCUAGCCUGGCUAUUCCAAGAAUUGAAUCCGUGCUUGAUCCAGGAAUCAGAACAGGUCUCAGGCAUACAGCCCACCCCCACAAAACUCAUAACCAAAUAUUGCAAGGGAUUAAUGGGAACUUAAUUACUGAUUUUCCGACUUUCUAUAAAUAUAUUUGUGUCGGUAUUGUAGUUGUAGGAGACAUUUCAUGCAUUUUAAUUAACAAGCCUAGUAUGGGAGUACUGAUGCAUACAUAAUUUCAUAAAUAUUAGUUAAGUGUAAAUUUCAUAAUCUCCAAAAUGUUAGCUUUAUGGUCCCCAGAAUAAGUGACUGUCUGGCCAGAAAGCAGUAAAGGAAAAAACACAUCUUUAGUAGAACUUGGGGCAACAGAAAACACUUAAUAUUAAUCAAUGCACUGUCAGGGUGUAAUCAGACAGCAGGUUCUCAUAUUUGGGUCAGUGCACAAGCACUGGAAGAGUUCCUGGGAACCAGACCAAACUGUUCUCACAGGAGUUUGCAUCCCACCACUUUGAAAUUGGUUGUGCAGUCGAGCCCUGGAACUUUGAUAUGUUCAUGCCAGCCAUCAACAUGAGCUGAAGCUAAUAACACAUAACCACUGCAUAUGCACUAGAAAUACAAUGACUGGCAACUCCCUAUGUAGGUAUGUGUGAUGAGAUGAUGAGCUGCUUGUGCGUAAAAUCGUAUCCCCUCAGAGUUUGUUCAAGUCCACAAACCUCUGUCUGUGACGGAGCCCCUCAGACAUGGCUCCUCUAGUCACUAGCAGAUUCCGACAGUGGUUGCUUUCAGUAAUCGCUUCCAACAUAAAAGCUCCUUAACGGAAACACGUNNNNNNNNNNNNNNNNNNNNNNNNNNNNNNNNNNNNNNNNNNNNNNNNNNNNNNNNNNNNNNNNNNNNNNNNNNNNNNNNNNNNNNNNNNNNNNNNNNNNUGAUGAGAUGAUGAGCUGCUUGUGCGUAAAAUCGUAUCCCCUCAGAGUUUGUUCAAGUCCACAAACCUCUGUCUGUGACGGAGCCCCUCAGACAUGGCUCCUCUAGUCACUAGCAGAUUCCGACAGUGGUUGCUUUCGUAAUCGCUUCCAACAUAAAAGCUCCUUAACGGAAACACGUCUUCUGGACUCUCUGCGUGACAGUUUCCGGCGAGGAGUGGGUGUUCUUACAGGAGGUCCUGAAACCUCCCCACUGUUUUCGCUGGAAGUGUCUCUGAGCCAUCCCUCCAGCUCAGCUCCUCUCCCCCUGCUGGUUCCCUCUUCAGCUGCUGCGUCUCUCCCAACCUGUGUGAGCCCUUUCACCUCCCUGCUGGUUCCCUCUUCAGCUGCUGCGUCUCUCCCAACCUGUGUGAGCCCUUUCACCUCCCUGCUGGUUCCCUCUUCAGCUGCUGCGUCUCUCCCAACCUGUGUGAGCCCUUUCACCUCCCUUCCGUCCGAUGGCAGUUCCCUGACAUCCACCUCCCCCUCCAGGGCCCACUUCACCCCCUCUCGCCCCCUCCUCUACGGGCGGUGAGGAGGCAAAAACCCGGAAUGAACUUCCUUCAUCUUCCGAUGUCUCGAACACUUCUCUCAACCUGUUGCGGUUCCUGGUCUCGAAGUACACCUCCUCCUCAGAGUCCAUCUCCCCUUCCCCUUCCGAGUCCGGGAAUCCUUCCAACUCCUCCCCCUCAUCAGUGGUCCCAAAGUAUUCCCUCCGGAACCUCUCCACAGGCUGAGGUUUCCUUGGGAACCUUUGAUGGAACGUUUCUAUCAAUACCUCGUCAUUGAUAUCUUCGGCCAUUACCCAAGUGUUUUCUGACUCCGGUUCUCCUUCCCACGCUACCAAAUACUCCACCUGAUCCCCCUUCCACCUGGCGUCGAGGAUUUCUGCCACAUGGCUGCUGCAUUCUCUUUCUUCUAUGACCGGUCCCGAGUGGCCAGCCCUUCUCGUCCCCCUUCGUACGGUGACAGUAACGACCUGUGAAAUACUGGGUGCAGUUUCAUGUGGUUGGGUAACCGGAGCCUGAAAGCCACUGGGUUGACCUGUUGAAUGACCUCAAAGGGACCCAACCUCCUGGGUCUUAAUUUCUUACAACCUCCUUUGAGCGGCAGCCCUUGGGUUGACAGCCACACCCUAUCUCCCACCCUUAUGGUUUCACCUUCCCUUCGGUUCUUGUCUGCCUGCCUCUUGUAUUCUUCCUUCGCCCUUUCUAAGUUGAGUUGGAGCUGACGAUGGAUUGCUUCCAUUUCUUCCACAAAAUGCUCGGCUGCCGGGACGCUCCAUCUCUCCCCAUCUCCCCCUGGGAAAGCCCUGGGAUGACACCCAUAAUUAGCCAAGAAGGGGCUCAUCCCUGUGGACACAUUCUCGGCAUUGUUGUAGGCAAAUUCCGCCAGCGCCAACUUUUCUACCCAGUCAUUCUCUCUGUCAUUGACAUAACACCUCAGGUAUUGCUGGAGGACACCGUUUGCUCUUUCCGCCUGCCCGUUGGUUUCAGGGUGCCGGGCAGUCGAAAAAUUGACCUCCACCUGCAGUAAGCUCAUGAGCUUCCUCCAGAACCUGGAAGUAAAUUGUUUUCCUCGGUCUGAGACCACCCUCAAUGGCACCCCGUGCAACCUAAAAAUGUGUUCUACAAAUAACUUCGCUGUCUCUUCCGCCGUGACUGCAUGCGAGCAAGCUACAAAGUGGCACAUCUUUGUUAGUAGGUCUACCACCACCAUGAUGGCUGUUUUCCCUUUGGACUUCGGCAGAUCAGUCAUAAAAUCUAUCGACACUGCCUCCCAAGGUCGUUCUGGGGUUGGUAAGGGUUCUAAUAGCCCCGCCGGCGCCCGCCUUUCCCCUUUGGCUCUCUGGCAUUGCUCGCACCCUCUUACAUACUCACGUACAUCUUCCCUCACCUUAGGCCACCAAAAUUCCCUGGUGACCAACCACAUGGUUUUGUGUUGUCCAAAAUGCCCCGCCGUAGGGCUGUCGUGCAACUGCUUGAGUACCCUCCCCCUUAACUCUCCUUCAGGGAUAUACAGUGCCCCUUUGUAAUACAAAGCUCCAUUUCUUUCCUCGAAACCCCCUGGUUCCUCUCCCUCACUCCUAAGACCUCUGAGCUUAUUCUGGGCGUAUUCAUCAUUCUCUGUUUCCUCUACCAGUUCUCUUUGUCCCACCAAUGCCGCCCCACACACCCAGCGGUCCUCUGGAAUGACAUGUCUCUCUUCGGGUGCCCCCUCCCCUCCAAAUAUUCUGGUUUGCGUGAGAGAGCGUCCGCCCUAAUGUUCUCUGGGCCUGGCACGUAAUUAAUCUCAAAGUUAAAUUUGGAGAACUCCUGGGCCCAUCUCACUUGCCGUUGGUUGAGCACUCGUGCCGUCCUCCAAUACUCUAAGUUCUUGUGGUCAGUGCACACUUGCACCUUAUGUUGUGCGCCAAUUAGCAGGUGCCUCCAUCUCCGGAACGCCUCAUGAAUGGCUAGUAGUUCUCGGUCAUACACCGUGUAGUUCCUCUCGGAUUUGUUCAGCUUUCGCGAAAAAAGAGCACACGGUCUCCACUCUGACCCCUUCUUCCCUGGCUGCAGAAGCACCGCCCCAAUCGCUCUGUCUGAUGCGUCAGUUUCCACUCUCAUCGGUUUUGUAAAUCCACAUGCAGGAGUUGUUGUUCCGAGGCGAAGGCCCUUUUUAGUUCCUCAAAUGCUCGCUCCGCCUCCUCAGUCCACACGAACUUCUUCUUACUGCUGAGACAGUCCGUAAUGGGCGCCGUCAGGUGGGCAAAGUUUCGGAUGAACUUACGAUAGAAGUUCCCAAAUCCUAGGAACCUCUGCACAUCCUUCUUUGUUUUGGGUGUUUUCCAUUCCAGCACCGCCUGGACCUUGCCGGGAUCCAUGGCCAAUCCCUUGUCAGACAGGCGAUACCCCAGGAAUUCCACCUCCUUGGUAUGAAACUGACACUUCUCCAGUUUCACCCACAGCUGGUUGGCUUGCAGCCUGCUCAACACUUCUCUGACGUCUCUCACAUGCUGCUCCUCAUUCUCAGAAUACACCAACACGUCGUCUAAAAAGGCCACACAAUUCUUGUAAAGCAAAGGCCCCAGGACGUGGUUCAUAAUCGAUUGAAAUGUUGCGGAGCCUGCUUGUAGGCCGAAGGGCAUAACCAAAUAUUCAAAUGCCCCUAAAGGGGUGAACAUAGUGGUUUUCCAUUCAUCCCCCUUCCUUAUUCGUACCAGGUUGUACGCCCCCCUUAGGUCCAGCUUUGUGAAAAUCUUUCCCUUCCGCACCCUUGUCAAAAUGUCGUCAAUCCUGGGCAUAGGGAAGGCUACUGGUUCUGACACUGCAUUUAAGGCCCUGAAGUCACACACCAGCCUCGGCUUGUUCGUGUUUUCUUAUCCACAAAAAACACUGGGCUGCCCCCACCGCCCUGGACUCUCUGAUGAACCCUCUCUUCAGGUUCUUGUCAAUGAACUCUCUUAACUCCUGCAUCUCUCUGUCUGACAUGGCGUACAGCUUGCCUACAGGGAGCUGUGCUCCAGGGAGUAAAUUGAUUUGACAGUCAAAGGGUCUAUGCGGGGGUAGUUGGUCAGCUUCCCUUUCGCUGAAGACGUCACGGAGAUCUGCAUAUUGUCGUGGUACCUUCACGUUCUCUGUUACUUCAGUCCCUGCUAGGGUGGCUUGGACCCCUGCCAAACCCUUUCCCUCUUUGCAGUGUUCUAAGCAAUGUGCUGAACCAAAAGAAACCACUCUCUGAUGCCAGCCCACCAGCGGAUCAUGUAACGCUAGCCAGCUCAUCCCCAAUAUAAUGGGAGCUCCUCCCAAGGUGGCCACAUUAAAAGCUAUCAGUUCGGUGUGCCUUGCUACCUUCAUUAUCAUUGGGACGGUCUGCAAGCUGACUUCUCCUCCCAACAGCUCCCUGCCAUCGAUCGUGGUCACCUGCAGGGGGCUGCUUAAGGGAUCGUCUGUAUCUGGUGUUCAGCUGCAAACUCUUUGCUCAUGAAAUUGCAGGAGCUGCCUGAGUCCAACAGCGCCUUUAUCUUUAGAGGGUGUCCGUUUGGCAGCUCUAGCGUCACUUCUAUCACUAGGGCGGGUUUAGGAGGUUCUGGCGUGGGCACUCUCACUGCUCUUUGGCCUGGCUGCUGUGCCCCGACAGUGGCAGCCAGGCGUUGGCUUUUACUUGCUCCGGUAUAUCUUCCUCUCUUCCAUCCACAGCUCCUACCAUCCCUUGCCAUUCUUUCCUCUGGGGGCAGACUCUGGCAAAGUGACCUGGCUGUUGGCAGAGAUAGCAUUUCCGGGCGCCUUUUCCCUCCUUUUUCCCCCUCACUGGGCUUUGAAACUGCGCGCGCGCGCUGUUCCGAUUUCCAUCGGCUCUGCCGGUGGGAAAGUUGGCUCUGGAAUGUCUGGAAUGCGGAACUCCUUCCAACGUUCCCCUUUCCCUUCCCGCCUCUCCAAUGCUCUCGCCUCCUGGCGCGCUCCUAUGGCCAGCGCUGAUUUGGUCAGCUGGUCCAUAGACUCCACCCUGGGCGCCCGGGAAAGUUCGUCUUUCACAGCCGAAGAAAGCCCUUCUUCAAAGAGCAUUUGAAUGGGUUCCGCCGAUAAGUCCCACCCCAAUCUGUGAACAAGCAUGGUGAACUCAGUCCAGUACUCACGGACAGAUCGGCUCCCCUGUUUGCAAGCCAUUAACUGUCUGCGCACCACUCCCUUUUCAAUAUCGCUGGAAAACAUCAGAUCCAUGGCGCGAAAGAACUUCAUUGUGUCCUUUAGGACGUCACUAUUCGCUGCCAUCAGGGGUCUAACCCAGUCUCUCGCCCCCUUUUCAAGAUGCUCAAUCACGAAAGCCACUCGUGAUUCCUCGUCAGGAAUUCAUCAAACUGCAGAUUGAGGGCAUAUUGCAUUUCUGUCCGAAAGCCAUGAUAGUUUUGGGCUCCCCCCCAAACUUCUGCACCAAUCCUGGUACCUUUCUGGCGAGCUGGGUGGCUUUCCCCUUUUGUCUGCAUCCUGAGCCCUCCUCUCCUCAAGCCUCGCCGUCUGCAUCGCUAGCUGGACCUCCAACACCCGGUACCUUUCUUCCAGGCUUGGACCCACUCCAGCUCCUGCUUCUCCGGUUCCGGCUGGGUUGCUCAUGAUGCCUUCUCCUGCACAAGCUGCUUUCAAAGACUGUCGGAAUGCUGUGAUGAGAUGAUGAGCUGCUUGUGCGUAAAAUCGUAUCCCCUCAGAGUUUGUUCAAGUCCACAAACCUCUGUCUGUGACGGAGCCCCUCAGACAUGGCUCCUCUAGUCACUAGCAGAUUCCGACAGUGGUUGCUUUCGUAAUCGCUUCCAACAUAAAAGCUCCUUAACGGAAACACGUCUUCUGGACUCUCUGCGUGACAGUUUCCGGCGAGGAGUGGGUGUUCUUACAGGAGGUCCUGAAACCUCCCCACUGUUUUCGCUGGAAGUGUCUCUGAGCCAUCCCUCCAGCUCAGCUCCUCUCCCCCUGCUGGUUCCCUCUUCAGCUGCUGCGUCUCUCCCAACCUGUGUGAGCCCUUUCACCUCCCUGCUGGUUCCCUCUUCAGCUGCUGCGUCUCUCCCAACCUGUGUGAGCCCUUUCACCUCCCUGCUGGUUCCCUCUUCAGCUGCUGCGUCUCUCCCAACCUGUGUGAGCCCUUUCACCUCCCUUCCGUCCGAUGGCAGUUCCCUGACAGUAUGCAAGUUAAAUCCACUCAUACAUACCAAUGAACACAUCCAACCAACUUCUGUCCUUAAUUUCUAAUAGAAUAAGCUUAUGCAAAUAGCUUAACUGAUUUCUCAUUUGCUUCUUUACAUUUUUCUCCUUGAAAUAUGUUGACUUCACUUUUCUUUGCCUUUUAAAAACUCAUCUUUUCCCCCACCCAUGUGGAGUUUUGAUCCUGAAAUUGACAUCUCUCUGUUAAACUCCAGAACCUGCAGGAAGUCAGCAUCUAAUCAGAAUCAAGCAACAGUUUGCAUUUUACGGUGCUGGAAACUAAUGACAUGACUGGGGCAUCCAGAACUGUUUAUUCACGUGUGUGCCCAUUUAUAUGUAUAGUAGCAAAUGGAGUCUAAUUUCCCUCCCAAAAUUCCAUGCAUUCACCCACACAUAUGGUGUAAAAAUUCAGUCCCCAUCCCAUCUCCACUUCAUACAAUACGAGGGCAGAUUUGUGAACAGACGUAGCCCCAUUACAUCUAGUUUGGACCUUGAAAUCCCCUAAACACAACCUUCAUUUUUCUUUAUAUAAAAUGACUAGCAAAUAGAAAUUGAAACUUUAAUGCUGUAUAAGACACUGUAGUUGAUCUACCUGUGAUUUGUUUAAAAUGUGGGGGGAAGUGAGAAGGCCAUUGUUCAGCGAUAGAGCACUUAGUUUGGGUGCCAAAAGUCACACGUUUAGUUCCCUGCAUCUCCAGAUAGGGCUUGGGGAGACUCUAGUCUGAAAUCCUAGGGAGCCACUGCUAGCAUAGACAGUAAUGAGCUAGAUUCAGUAUAAAGCAGCUUUCUACGUCCUUUUAACUAGAAUUGUACAUCCUUCAAAUAUUGACUAUCUUUCCUCCAGACUGCUAAGAUUCUCUGGCCAUGACUCAAAAUUACACUAAUACCUUGCGAAGAUCCUAUAGCAUCUAUCAACUGAUGCACGGUCAUUAUAAAGGGCCAUCUACUAAUGCUGAUGGAAAUGUCCAGGAAAGCAAUGUAGUCAGGAUUUUAAUAUUCAGCAAGGAUUACAAGAACACUGGCCUGUUUGAAUGGAUCUGCCCUUCGAAUCAUUUUAUUUACUUUUCCAGUCUUCUUGAAAUGUUUAUUUGAAUUUUGUCCAUUCCUGGAGAAAAGCACAUUGCUUUUAAUGCUUUUGCUUAUCCAGCCCUCAGUUCUUACUUCCAAACAAAGUGCAGUAGUUGCAGGCAUCUUAGCAAGACUCGGGCUGAUGCUAUUCCUAAUCUUACGUAUGUUUUCCAGAAGGCUUUCAUCAUUUGUUUGUAUUAAAUUGGUGGAAGGGAAUGGAUCGUACUACAUAAGAGAAAAUAUAUUACAUUAUAGAGGGAUAAGGAAAUGGGCAUGUAUGAAAAAAACAAUCCAUACUUUGCUCUGAUGUCGGGAAUGUAAUCAAUAAUAAUAAUAAUAAAUUUUAUUUAUAUCCCGCCCUCCCCAGCCAAAGCCGGGCUCAGGGCGGCUAACAACAAUAACACUUGAGUACAUUCCUGAAAGUUCGGGGUUUAAAUCUCAUCUCCAUCAGCUGUUUCCAAGGUCACAAGUGGCUCCCAAAUCCUGCAGAUUCAGGAAAUCCAGGUGAACAUUGAUCAAACGCAUUCAUGUCACUGGCAUGGGGAAUAGCUCACUGACAGCUGCCACCAGUCAGAAUAGACAGCAGUAGAAUAGUAGCCUGGGUCUGUAGGGCAGCUUUACCAUUGUAGGAGACAGACACUCAUGUUCUGUGGGCACACUCAAGUCAACAGUACCAGAGUGCUUUUAGCUUCCUCCUGUGGACUCUGCGUGUACAUGGAAAAUGUUAAAUGAGAUUUCCAAAUCCCAGCAAAUUAUUUAGGAGAGACACGUGAGUAGGAGACAAUGGAAUAAUGAUGAUGCAUUGUACAAACAGAAUAAAAAGAGAAAUGCCUGCCUAGAGACGUAUAAUUCAAAAGACUUGAAAGGCAAGAAGACAAGAUUUUAUCUUUUUUUAAAAAAAAUCCAUGUAUAUUUUCAGUUCUAAUUUAAGUGCUCCUCCACAAAAAAACCCUAAUAAAACAUUCCCAUGAAGGAAACUGUUACAUCAUCAUCAGCCUGAUGAAAAAGAUGGCUUGGGAUUAACUUUGAGCCACUUCCAACAUAAUGUUCUGUGCUCACAGAAUGACUUUUAAAAGCAAUUGGAUGAGCGCCUCCAUUUGGAAAUGUUACACGGGGACUACAACAUUCCUCAGAUGGAUUAAUGAACAUGCUCAUCAGUUUCUGUCAGGUUCUGUUCACAGUUUGCUCAGGGAUGGGGUGGGGAAUGUGCCUGCCUAAUUCACAUGUAACAUUGCCACGUGCAGGCACUGUGACUGCGAUAAAAGAGAUUGCAUAACAGGAAAGUAAAAAAGCAUAGUUGUGAACCAGGGUCUCUCCCAUAUGACCUAUUUAUUGAACAUUCAUUCUGAUUUGUUUGCCCCCACACUUUCCAGGGCAUUUCCCCAUCACUUUCCUUAUCACAAAAACAAUGAUGGGGGGGGGGAAUAAAUGGAUAUGUUGCACAAGAGUGUCAAACCAACUUUAACUACACAACCUAAAUUAGCUGGUAUGGGAUUGAAUCCCACCCAAAACUACUGACAGGUCUGGAAGUGCCUCAGGAGGUCUCUUGUUCAAAUCUCAGCUCAGGCAUAAAUUCACUCAGUGACAGUAGCAAACUACUAUCUCUCCAGCCCAAUCUUCCAUCUAUAAUAUGAGGAUGAUGAUAGUGCUGGCAUAUAUUACACCGCUGUAUUGAUUACUAAGAUAAUGCAGAUAAAGCACUUCAAACACUUAAGGAAGGUGCUAUGUAAAUAUUGUUGUUCUUCAGAUUCUAUCAAUAAGCCCUUAGUCUGUGUUGCCAAGGUUGUUGUUGUUUUCAAGUCCCCAAACCAUUUUAGGAUUGGCACUUAAAUGCUAAAUAAUCCCCUGCAAUUUCUUGGAAACAGUGCUAUCCACAAAUUUCCCUGCUGUACCAGUUUUUCUAUUUGCUUCUUUUCCUCUCCAACUCUUAUACUCCCGUCUCUCACUUACAGGUGUUUUUAAGCUCACAUUUCCCACUUGCUACUACUACUUCUUCCAUUCAUGUUCAGCCCUGUAGUUUACCAGCUUGCAAAUUCCAGAGAACGCACAGGACCACAACACAAAACAGCAAGGACAGAAUGAAAACAUCUCUGGAAUGACAGGAAGAGAUUAAACUAAAAUGAGAAACGACCAGAAAGUCACUCCUGAAUCCCAGGCCACUUCAUUAUUGUGGUUGUCCCUGCAUGCCAGCUGGGACAGAAAGUCAAGGUAGCAACGUAUUGCAAGGAAAAGCUAUUUUCAGUGUACUUCAAGCACAGCUUUAAUGAUGAAGCACUGGAAAUCUUGUAAGAAAAGUCUGUUCCUGGCUGUUUUCCAACCUGUCUUCAAAUCAGAAAGGUCUGACUAAGCAUAUAAACUUUUGGAAUUGGCUCACCAAAUCUAUGGAGAUUAGCUCAUCACUGCAAGCAGCAGUAGGAGCACUUGGGUUGGAUAAACCCCGUAAGAAGAACUUCCACUUCUCCUGCAGCCAGAGGUCUUGGAUUUUGUCUUUAUCAUCCCAUUCAGUCCCUUUCUUUCCUGUUCAUCACUUGCUUCACUGCAAGGGGGGGGGGGUCAGGAAAGGAUUUGUGCCGCAUUUGUUUUCCUGACAUUCUUCAGGGCCAAUGCUAAAGUUUCUUCAGUGACGCAGCUGCUCUCUUCCACAUCUUGCUGAGUGAACCCUGCUCUAAGCAAUGUGCUUUUCCCUCCCUGAAGGUGGGAGUGUGUAAGAUAUUAUUCCACUGCAGCUGCAUGAGCAGCCCUGGCAUGCCAUCAGGAAGGAAACAUUAGCAAAAGGCACUGAUGAUGUCAGAACAAAGAUUAUGUCAGCCAUAACUUCUCACAAAAGAAAGGCCAACAUCACUUUAGGUUUUGGCAUUCACACAAAAAUCAACUCCUAAGUAUAUAACGAUUCCACUGCACCUGCCACAAUUUUGCAACCUGAAUACUCAAGUUCUGUACAUAAUACAUCCAUAUGCUUAUUUUUUCAUGAAUGUGCUGCAUCAGAACCAGUUCAAAUCUGAUUUGAGGCUUAUGAAUCCACUUGAAGGAUGAAGAGCAGACACUGGGCUUAAGCCAAGAACCGAACAGGCAUUGUCCAUGAGAACCAGCCAUGAGGGCAAGCUGGGGGUUUUGACUAUGACAACCAGAUGCUAGACCAUGCCAGAAACAACUCAUAGACAAAACAGUAGUACCCAUCUGGCAGCUCAACAUCUACAUCCUUAAGAACCAAAUGGCAUGUGAUGCUAAACAUGUUAUUAGCAACCACAUCUUAAGGGUUUUCUUAUUUAAUACUAGGCAUGGAGUAGGUCUGGCUUCCAUCAAGUCUGCAGUGCACAGAGAGGAGUGACUUUUCUCUUCUCAGCUGCAAUCCUGGGCAAAAAUAACCCCAUGCAUGCUACAAUUGGUUUUUGUCCCUAAGGCUAACAAUAAUAGAGGAGGAGCAAUGUCGGUGCGACUGCAGCUGAGGAGGGAAAAGUUAAGGCAAACCUUCCCACCCAUCAACAGUACAGUCUCACUGAAGGCCAGGGGUUGCAAGUCCUUAAUUUUAAAAUUUUGCCGUAAAGCUUGCUUUUUUCCUUUUCCUUUUCCCUUUUUUUUUUUUUUUUUGAACCAUCAUCAGCUGAGAAGGGAU